rnacentral:rRNA from 1 species
AUUGAACGCUGGCGGCAGGCCUAACACAUGCAAGUCGAGCGGAAGAAGGGAGCUUGCGCCUGGAUUCAGCGGCGGACGGGUGAGUAAUGCCUAGGAAUCUGCCUGGCAGUGGGGGAUAACGUCCGGAAACGGGCGCUAAUACCGCAUACGUCCUGAGGGAGGAAGAGGGGGGUCUUCGGACCUCACGCUAUCAGAUGAGCCUAGGUCGGAUUAGCUAGUUGGUGGGGUAAAGGCCUACCAAGGCGACGAUCCGUAACUGGUCUGAGAGGAUGAUCAGUCACACUGGAACUGAGACACGGUCCAGACUCCUACGGGAGGCAGCAGUGGGGAAUAUUGGACAAUGGGCGAAAGCCUGAUCCAGCCAUGCCGCGUGUGUGAAGAAGGUCUUCGGAUUGUAAAGCACUUUAAGUUGGGAGGAAGGGCAGUAAGUUAAUACCUUGCUGUUUUGACGUUACCAACAGAAUAAGCACCGGCUAACUUCGUG